UACGUAGGGCGCAAGCGUUGUCCGGAAUACUGGGCGUAAAGCGCGCGUAGGCGGACCUGCAAGUCGGGGUGAAAGCCCGAGGCUCACCUCGGAACUGCCUUCGAUACUGCGGGUCUCGAGUCGGGAGAGGUGAGUGGAAUUCCUAGUGUAGAGGUGAAAUUCGUAGAUAUUAGGAAGAACACCAGUGGCGAAGGCGGCUCACUGGCCCGGUACUGACGCUGAGGCGCGAAAGCGUGGG
rnacentral:rRNA from 1 species